AUUUUGUCUGCUAUUUUGCUUUUUAGUUUGUUUAUUCUUAAAUUUAUGUAUUUAUUUGUUUUAAAUUGCUAUAAUUUUUUUUAGAUCUCUGAUUUUAAUUAAUUUUGGGUUUAAUUUUUUUGAGGGAAAACAAAACAUAAAACGAUUUUGUCUGUUGUUACUAUCAACAAAUUUAAAACGAUUUUGUCUACUAUUUUUUUAAAAAAAAAUUGUUUAUUCUAAAAAUUAUCUAUUUGUUUGUUUUAAAUUGCUAUAAUUUUUUCAGAUCUCUAAUUUUAAUUAAUGUUGGCCUUAAUUUUUUCACUUUACAGUUCCUACAUUUGUUUUAUUCUUAUUGUAUAAACAUGAGGUGUUUUGCUGAGAUUUGAUGCAUGAUCAAAACAUGCCAGCUCAAAUAUUAAUUUGACAUUUGGAUCUGAGGUGUUUUGCUGAGAUUUGAUGCAUGAUAAAAACAUGCCAGCUCAAAAUAUAGUUUAACACUAUGCUGCCAGCUCAAAUAUUAUUUUGACAUCUGGAUCUUAUUCACAGCACCUGAUGGUUAUUCUAGAGUGUUCAUUUUAUUGAGUAUAAAUAGUUUUUUUCCUACAAGAUAUAAACAUAUACAAACAAAAAAAGUUUCUGCAGAAUCUGGAGCUGAGAUUUGCAGAAUCUGGAGCUGAGAUCAAAAGCAUAAAAAGAUGACUUUGGUUAGAAUACCAAAUGAUGUUGUGUUAGGCUGUAUUCUGCAUCAACUUGGUCUUCCACCUCACCAUUAUAAAAAUUCUGAAAAAAUAGAACCGGAUAUGCAUGCAUCUACAAUUGUUUUUAAUUUCUUUGAUGCCCAAGUAGGCCAAAACUGCCAUGAAAUGAUGGCCAUGAGUUUUGAAAGUGUUGAAGAAGCAAAAGAAGUAGCUGCUCUUUAUGCAAUAGAGUUCUUGAAGCAUCAUUAUGAUCUUGACAUUUAUGAUUAUAACAAAAUAGAGCUUUUGGAACUUAGAGCAAGGACUGAAAAUGUUAAUGUUGAAUGUGAGUGUGAGAAGCUGGUGGCUAAAAUCAGAAAAUCAAAAAGGAGUUUUCGUCGAAUGGAGAAAGCUAUGCUGGAAGUGAAUAGGAUUACUGGAAAAGCUAUCAUGAAAAAAAAAUAUUUCUGAUGUGUUCCAUGUUUUAGAUGGCUGGAAAUGACUUUUUUUGGUAGACUUAUAUGGUCUCAAUCAUGUAUUAUAGUUUAAAAUGUGAUUGAGCUUUUGUUAGCACAUGUAGUGCUAUUUUUUGGGAGAACCAAAUACAAAUGGUUCUGUGAUGUUCUCAGAAUAUAUUU